rnacentral:rRNA from 1 species
GCCUAACACAUGCAAGUCGAACGGUAACAGGAAGCAGCUUGCUGCUUCGCUGACGAGUGGCGGACGGGUGAGUAAUGUCUGGGAAACUGCCUGAUGGAGGGGGAUAACUACUGGAAACGGUAGCUAAUACCGCAUAACGUCGAAAGACCAAAGUGGGGGACCUUCGGGCCUCAUGCCAUCAGAUGUGCCCAGAUGGGAUUAGCUAGUUGGUGGGGUAACGGCUCACCAAGGCGACGAUCCCUAGCUGGUCUGAGAGGAUGACCAGCCACACUGGAACUGAGACACGGUCCAGACUCCUACGGGAGGCAGCAGUGGGGAAUAUUGCACAAUGGGCG